rnacentral:rRNA from 1 species
UACAGAGGGUGCGAGCGUUAAUCGGAAUACUGGGCGUAAAGCGCACGUAGGUGGCGACGUAAGUCGGGUGUGAAAUCCCUGGGCUCAACCUGGGAACGGCAUUCGAGACUGCGUUGCUGGAGUACGGAAGAGGAGGGCGGAAUUCCCGGUGUAGCGGUGAAAUGCGUAGAUAUCUGGAGGAACACCGGUGGCGAAGGCGGCAUCCUGGACCAACACUGACGCUGAGGAGCGAAAGCCAGGGGGAGCAAACGGG